AGUCCCUUAGCUCAGUUGGUGAGAGUAUCUGGCUUACAUCCAGAGGGUCGUAGGUUCGAACCCUACAGGGACUA
rnacentral:tRNA from 1 species